rnacentral:rRNA from 1 species
CCCUUAGAUGUUCUGGGCCGCACGCGCGCUACACUGACGAAGUCAGCGAGCAUGUCCUACGCCGACAGGUGCGGGGAAUCUUGUCAAACUUCGUCGUGAUGGGGAUUGAUUAUUGAAAUUCUUGAUCAUGAACGAGGAAUUCCUAGUAAGCGCAAGUCAGCAGCUUGCGUUGAUUACGUCCCUGCCCUUUGUACGCACCGCCCGUCGCUACUACCGAUUGAAUGGUUUAGUGAGAUCUUCGGAUUGGCGCCACUGCGGCUCGGCAACGGGCUCGGUGGAUGCCGAAAAGUUGAUCAAACUUGAUCAUUUAGAGGAAGUAAAAGUCGUAACA